UGGGGAAUUUUGGACAAUGGGCGAAAGCCUGAUCCAGCAAUGCCGCGUGUGUGAAGAAGGCCUUCGGGUUGUAAAGCACUUUUGUCCGGAAAGAAAUGGCUCUGGUUAAUACCUGGGGUCGAUGACGGUACCGGAAGAAUAAGGACCGGCUAACUACGUGCCAGCAGCCGCGGUAAUACGUAGGGUCCAAGCGUUAAUCGGAAUUACUGGGCGUAAAGCGUGCGCAGGCGGUUGUGCAAGACCGAUGUGAAAUCCCCGAGCUUAACUUGGGAAUUGCAUUGGUGACUGGACGGCUAGAGUGUGUCAGAGGGGGGUAGAAUUCCACGUGUAGCAGUGAAAUGCGUAGAGGUGUGGAGGAAUACCGAUGGCGAAGGCAGCCCCCUGGGAUAACACUGACGCUCAUGCACGAAAGCGUGGGGAGCAAACAGG
rnacentral:rRNA from 1 species